rnacentral:RNase_P_RNA from 1 species
GAAGUUCGCCAGGCAACCGCUGAACAUGAAAGUGUUUGGAGGAAAGUCCGGGCCCCACAGGGCGGAAUGCCGGCUAACGGCCGGGCGCUAUAAGUCGGGCGGCGCAAGUCGCACGACCCAAGGCGACAGACAGUGCAACAGAAAGAUACCGCCUAAGUUCGCAAGAACCGGUAAGGGUGAAAUGGUGGGGUAAGAGCCCACCGCGUUUCUGGUAACAGAAACGGCACGGCAAACCUCAUUCGGGGCAAGGCCAAAUAGGGGAGUAAUGGCGUGGCCCGCGUCGCUCCCGGGUAGGCUGCUAGAGGCCGUCGGUAACGGCGGUCCCAGAGGAAUGGUUGCCCACGACAGAACCCGGCUUAUCGGCGGACUUCCCAC